rnacentral:rRNA from 1 species
UACGGAGGGGGGCUAGCGUUUGUUCGGAAUUACUGGGCGUAAAGCGCACGUAGGCGGCUUUUGUAAGUUAGAGGUGAAAGCCCAGGGCUUAACCCUGGAAUUGCCUUUAAGACUGCAUCGCUAGAAUCGUGGAGAGGUGAGUGGAAUUCCGAGUGUAGAGGUGAAAUUCGUAGAUAUUCGGAAGAACACCAGUGGCGAAGGCGACUCACUGGACACGUAUUGACGCUGAGGUGCGAAAAGCGUGGGGAGCAAACAGG